rnacentral:rRNA from 1 species
ACGGAAGGCAGCAGUGGGGAAUAUUGCACAAUGGGCGCAAGCCUGAUGCAGCGACGCCGCGUGAGUGAAGAAGUAUUUCGGUAUGUAAAGCUCUAUCAGCAGGGAAGAUAAUGACAGUACCUGACUAAGAAGCUCCGGCUAAAUACGUGCCAGCAGCCGCGGUAAUACGUAUGGAGCAAGCGUUAUCCGGAUUUACUGGGUGUAAAGGGCGCGUAGGCGGGGAUGCAAGUCAGGUGUGAAAACUAUGGGCUUAACCCAUAAACUGCAUUUGAAACUGUAUCUCUUGAGUGCUGGAGAGGUAGACGGAAUUCCUUGUGUAGCGGUGAAAUGCGUAGAUAUAAGGAAGAACACCAGUGGCGAAGGCGGUCUACUGGACAGUAACUGACGCUGAGGCGCGAAAGCGUGGGGAGCAAACAGGAUUAGAUACCCUGGUA